rnacentral:lncRNA from 1 species
AUUGGACUCAAUUCGCUCCCUCUAGCAAGUGAAUCCCAGGGAUCUAGCAGGGAUUGUCAGCCUUGGAGACAGGCACUCUUACCUACUGAGCCAUCUCAUCAGCUGUGAGCCCAGUGGCUGGAACCACCACCUCCUCCUCCUCCUCCUCCUCCUCCUCCUCCUCCUCCUCCUGUUUUUUUUUUGUUUUUUUGUUUUUUUGUUUGUUUUUGGGUUUUUUUGGUGUGUUUUUUGGGGGGGUGGGGUGCGGGGGGGGUGGAGGCAGUCAGAUCCCAGGGCUCACUAGCCAGUCAACCUAGCCUACUUGGUGAAAUCCAGAUCAGUGAGAGACCCUGACUCAAUCAAACACACACACACACACACACACACACACACACACACACACACACACCCCAAACACAAAAACAAACAUCAAAGUAGACAGCACAUGAGGAAUAACACUGAAGGCUGUUAUUCCUCUGGCCUGUAUGCAUAUCACACAAACACUUGCACAUGUGUGCACACACAGAAAUACCUCAGGGAGUGCAGUGGUAGCUACUGGAGUCAGUAAUAGUGGAUGGUUGUUUCACUAGAUGAGUCAGUUUCAGAGAUGGCUUCUAUACCACCACAGUGGUGAUGGUUGAGCAGAGUGAACUUAAAGCCACUGAAAUAUAUACUCUUAAAGGGCCAAGAUGGAGGCUGGGAGAUGGCUCUGCAGUUCAUAGUGCUUGCCUCCAAGCCUGACAACUUGAGUUCAAUCCCUGGGACCCACAUGGUGGAAAGAGAACUGACUCCCACAAGUGUUCUCUGACUUCUACAUGCACACAGACACAAACACAGGCAGACAGACAGACAGAACAAACACACACACACACACUUUGAAAGUUCCAUGAUGGCGAAUGUUAAACAUUUUAAAGCAUGACUUUAGAAAUCAAGACAUAUAUUUUAAAAGGUUUCAAAGACGAUGUGGGGCCACCACAUUGUGUCCUCUUUCCUCCUACAGUUGGUGCCAGGCCCUACCCUAGGUUCACGGGCUGCAGAGAAGAGAGUGCAUAGCACUCACCCUUAUGGAGUCUGGGUCAGUCUUGGAGCCAGGGUCAAGGUUUCCUCCUUGCUUCUCUUCUAGAAAAGUGUUGUUGCUUGUCUGAGAAAACAGGGUCCAGACAAGCAGGGUACUUGCUCAU